CCUACGGGUGGCAGCAGUGGGGAAUAUUGCGCAAUGGGCGAAAGCCUGACGCAGCGACGCCGCGUGAGGGAUGAAGGUCUUCGGAGCGUAAACCUCUGUCAGCAGGGAAGAACGGUCACUGUGCUAAUCAGCAGUGAAUUGACGGUACCUGCAAAGGAAGCACCGGCUAACUCCGUGCCAGCAGCCGCGGUAAUACGGAGGGUGCGAGCGUUAAUCCGAAUUAAUGGGCGUAAAGGGGUCGGAGGCGGUAAGACAAGUCAAGGGUGAAAUCCCCGCGCUCAACGUGGGAAGUGCCGUUGAAACUGGCAAACUGGAGUGUGUGAGAGGAUAGUGGAAUUCGAGGUGUAGGAGUGAAA
rnacentral:rRNA from 1 species